rnacentral:misc_RNA from 1 species
GCCCCCAACAAACACCUUGGUGUAAGUAGUAUCUCCAAAUUGACUUCCCAUAUUAGUCGAACUCAUCUCUCCCCCACAAGCCCUCUUCUUUUCUUCUAGUGAUGAUCUUCUUCCUCUUUCUUAAUUUUGUGAUCUAAUAAUUAAUCUUCAAAACGAAAUUGGAGAAGAGCUUUUGUUGAGCAGAGAGACAGUAGGUGAUGCAAUUAUCUAAUAGCUAGGUCAGGAUCACCAGGAAAGAGAGAGAGAGAGAGA